rnacentral:rRNA from 1 species
UACGGAGGGAGCUAGCGUUGUUCGGAAUUAUUGGGCGUAAAGAGCUCGUAGGCGGUCUGUCGCGUCGGCUGUGAAAACCCGGGGCUCAACCCCGGGCCUGCAGUCGAUACGGGCAGACUAGAGUGCGGUAGGGGAGACUGGAAUUCCUGGUGUAGCGGUGAAAUGCGCAGAUAUCAGGAGGAACACCGGUGGCGAAGGCGGGUCUCUGGGCCGUAACUGACGCUGAGGAGCGAAAGCGUGGGGAGCGAACAGG